rnacentral:rRNA from 1 species
GAUGAACGCUAGCGGUAGGCCUAACACAUGCAAGCCGAGCGGUAGAGUCUCUUCUGAGACUUGAGAGCGGCGCACGGGUGCGGAACACGUGUGCAACCUGCCUUUAUCUGGGGGAUAGCCUUUCGAAAGGAAGAUUAAUACCCCAUAAUAUACUGGAUGGCAUCAUCUGGUAUUGAAAACUCCGGUGGAUAGAGAUGGGCACGCGCAAGAUUAGAUAGUUGGUGAGGUAACGGCUCACCAAGUCAGCGAUCUUUAGGGGGCCUGAGAGGGUGAUCCCCCACACUGGUACUGCGACACGGACCAGACUCCUACGGGAGGCAGCAGUGAGGAAUAUUGGACAAUGGGGGAGAGCCUGAUCCAGCCAUCCCGCGUGAAGGACGACGGCCCUAUGGGUUGUAAACUUCUUUUGUAUAGGGAUAAACCUAGAUACGUGUAUCUAGCUGAAGGUACUAUACGAAUAAGCACCGGCUAACUCCGUG